rnacentral:misc_RNA from 1 species
UCCGGUUUGUCACCGGCAGUCCCAUUAGAGUGCCCAACUAAAUGUAGCAACUAAUGGCAAGGGUUGCGCUCGUUGCGGGACUUAACCCAACAUCUCACGACACGAGCUGACGACAGCCAUGCAGCACCUGUGUCCAGGUUCCCUUUCGGGCACACUCCCAUCUCUGAGAACUUCCUGACAUGUCAAGGGUAGGUAAGGUUUUUCGCGUUGCAUCGAAUUAAUCCACAUCAUCCACCGCUUGUGCGGGUCCCCGUCAAUUCCUUUGAGUUUUAAUCUUGCGACCGUACUCCCCAGGCGGCGAACUUCACGCGUUAGCUACGGCACGGAAUCCGUCAAUAGAAUCCCACACCUAGUGCCCAACGUUUACGGCGUGAACUAC